rnacentral:misc_RNA from 1 species
UCAAACUUGGUCAUUUAGAGGAAGUAAAAGUCGUAACAAGGUUUCCGUAGGUGAACCUGCGGAAGGAUCAUUCAUAAUAAAAGUGAAAUAAUUUAUGGCACUUUUAAAACAAUCCAUAUCCACCUUGUGUGCAAUGUUUUAUUUUUAUAUAUCAACUCUUUUUUUAAACACUUUAUUAUCUGAAAUUAUUUUAUGAAUUUAUUUACUUAAUUCAAAAAUAUAACUUUCAACAACGGAUCUCUUGGCUCUCGCAUCGAUGAAGAACGCAGC